GUGGCGAACGGGUGAGUAACACGUGGGCAAUCUGCCCUUCACUCUGGGACAAGCCCUGGAAACGGGGUCUAAUACCGGAUAACACUCUGUCCUGCAUGGGACGGGGUUAAAAGCUCCGGCGGUGAAGGAUGAGCCCGCGGCCUAUCAGCUUGUUGGUGGGGUAAUGGCCUACCAAGGCGACGACGGGUAGCCGGCCUGAGAGGGCGACCGGCCACACUGGGACUGAGACACGGCCCAGACUCCUACGGGAGGCAGCAGUGGGGAAUAUUGCACAAUGGGCGAAAGCCUGAUGCAGCGACGCCGCGUGAGGGAUGACGGCCUUCGGGUUGUAAACCUCUUUCAGCAGGGAAGAAGCGCAAGUGACGGUACCUGCAGAAGAAGCACCGGCUAACUACGUGCCAGCAGCCGCGGUAAUACGUAGGGUGCGAGCGUUGUCCGGAAUUAUUGGGCGUAAAGAGCUCGUAGGCGGCUUGUCACGUCGGAUGUGAAAGCUCGGGGCUUAACUCCGAGUCUGCAUUCGAUACGGGCUAGCUAGAGUGUGGUAGGGGAGAUCGGAAUUCCUGGUGUAGCGGUGAAAUGCGCAGAUAUCAGGAGGAACACCGGUGGCGAAGGCGGAUCUCUGGGCCAUUACUGACGCUGAGGAGCGAAAGCGUGGGGAGCGAACAGGAUUAGAUACCCUGGUAGUCCACGCCGUAAACGUUGGGAACUAGGUGUUGGCGACAUUCCACGUCGUCGGUGCCGCAGCUAACGCAUUAAGUUCCCCGCCUGGGGAGUACGGCCGCAAGGCUAAAACUCAAGGAAUUGACGGGGGCCCGCACAAGCAGCGAGCAUGUGGCUUAUUCGACGCACGC
rnacentral:rRNA from 1 species